rnacentral:lncRNA from 1 species
AAAAGAACAUGUUUCACUUGUAUCAUUUAAACAGGAGAUCAGAAAUGGUUUUCUGUCAAAGGCCAAUGAAGCAUGCUCAGCUUUUAUGGCCCUAUCACAAUCCGUCACAACUGCACCACUCUGCCUUGGCAGCCCUGAGACAACCAUCGGCUUACAGCACGUGGUCAGCAGGGCUGUGCCCAACCAAACCCACUCCUUCCACAAACGGCCAAUGGGCAAGGCUCAGAUUUGGCACCACCGACCUCGUUCGAAUCCUGGCGUCAGACUAAUAAUAAACCAUGAGGCUCUGUGUCUCGAUGGGCCUGUUGGGAAAUCCGCCGGGCACUUAGGCAGCUGAAAACUCUCAGCGCUUUCAUACUGAGGGAGCGUUAAUGACUCUCCUGGAUAUUUAUGGAUUUUAUCGGUUUCUUAAGUAAGUACUGUUCCAUUAUUAUGCCAAAUAUGUCUCUGGUUAAAAUUAAGAGGGAGAUAAACAAGUCUAAUUUUUAUGGUUCCAUCUGGUCACAGGCCAAUGAAGAAGCAGUUAAGCCCGUUACUGCUAAUCUACGUUUAGAACCAACACGUUUCUUCUCAGAAAAUACUGCCUUUCUGAAUGAAUAGAUUACCUUGGAAGUAGUUUUUAGGUCACAGGAAGGUCAAAGUGACUUAGCUGCUGGGGCAUUAAAAUGGCCAUUCAUUAUCAUGCUCUGCGAGUAUCUAUCACCAAAGCUGCUGUUUUUGUGUAUAAAGGAGGCCUGUGUGCAAGCAAAAAUCAUGCAUUACAGCAGAAGCAAUAAUGAAAUCUGUUCAAAAAAUCAAACUCAGCCAUCCUCAGUAAUGACCUUGAGCCAUGAUUCUCAUGUGCCUUUUAAGGAGGCCAUAUCUCCAUGUGUAAGGAAGCAGGGGGACCAUGACACUCACACACACUUUCAAAUCCAAUUAAAUUAAUAGCACUGGCUCAGCC